AAAAACUACAAGACAGGAAGAGUAAAAAGAAUUUUAGUCUUUACAGAGAAGCUACAUUUUGGUGAGAGUGGCGAGAUGAGAUCUUUUGAACAUGAUCCUUGAUGGGGUGGUUCGAUAUUUAGAAUCACACGGGAACUCCCGUUACAGAGUUAGUGUAUGAUGGUACAUGAAGUGGCAUUAUUAUUUAUUAUUGUAAUGCAAUUAAGGUGGUAACGCGGAUUAUUUCGCCCUUUUU
rnacentral:ncRNA from 1 species